rnacentral:rRNA from 1 species
UACGUAGGGAGCAAGCGUUGUCCGGAAUCAUUGGGCGUAAAGCGCGCGUAGGCGGCCCUGUAAGUCCGUUGUGAAAGUCAAAGGCUCAACCUUUGAAAGCCGAUGGAUACUGCAGGGCUAGAGUCCGGAAGAGGCGAGUGGAAUUCCUGGUGUAGCGGUGGAAUGCGCAGAUAUCAGGAGGAACACCGAUGGCGAAGGCAGGUCUCUGGGCUGACACUGACGCUCAUGCACGAAAGCGUGGGGAGCAAACAGG